UAGCACGAUUUUCGUAAGUGCCAUGAAAGACCAAAAAAAGAAUCUGGUUAACAUUAAUAGCAUUUUAUUAAUGUUGUUGUGAAAAACUUUGAGAGUGGGAAGGGAAAAUCAAUAAUACCGCUAUACUUGAAUGAAAAUUACACGAGCGCCAAAUAUAUUCCCUCGUUAAGAUAAUAAUUUCUUUACUUAGGUUAAAUGGAAAAAAAAAAUCAGUAUCACCACGAGACUUGAAAAAAAAAGAGACAACCAAGACCAAUACACUUUUACCUUCAAACAUCUGGGAAAAAAGCUCUCGAUAGAAACCAAACCCUAAGUACGACGGAUCUCCCCCGGUGCCGGUAGCCGUAACCGGUCUCGGAGGCCUCUCUUCCCCCUCCUCCCUCCACCGUCUCUACUUCUCUCUCAAACCCACUCCUCCCUCCACCGUCUCCUUCGCUUCCCCUCACUCCGCCGCUCUCUCCUCUACCGCCAUCAACCUCCUCGACUUCCUCCGUAGCCAUCCCGACGACUCCUCCGCCCUCCGCCUCUUCAAUUCCGCCUCCAAGCACCCCAACUUCUCCCCUGACCCUGCUCUCUACGACGAGAUCCUUCUCCGGCUAGGCCGCUCCGGCUCCUUCGAUUCGAUGAAGAAGAUCCUAUCCGACAUGAAGAAGACCUCCUCCUGCGAAAUGGAUUUGCAAAGAGGAAGUUAGAUGACUCAGUUUUCUUGGGAAAUCGGCUCCAGAUUUCAUAUGCUCCCGAGUUCGAGAGCCUCAGUGACACCAAGGAUAAGUUGGAAACAAGGAGGAAAGAAGUGCUUUCAAUAUCCAACCGUAAGCUUUUUUGCUUUCCCACCUCAGCUCAGAAAGCCAAGAGCAGCGUCUCACAAGUCACAAAACCAGCUUUGACCCAAAAGGAUAAUUUCUCACCACAAACGGUUAAAACUGUGAGGGAGAAACUCAACAAGUGCAAUGAAUAAACAGUUCGUCGCAGUUUGUGCAACACCAUCAGAUGUCGAGACUUCUUCCAAGGAUGAAUCACUUUUGAUUACGACUGUGGAAACCAGAAACAGCAACGAAGUCCUCGUUGAUAUAUUAAUCUUUAGUGUUCGUCUUGCUUUCUUGUUUGCGGUUUAUGUAGGUUUCUAACUUGCUACAAAUUCACUAAGUCCUCGUGUUCAGGGGCUAGAUUCUGAGCUUAGUGCUGACGGUGUUCUCUCAUAUGUUACGAAGUAAGAAUGCCUGCUGCUACGGGUGGGGUGGAGUACUGUCGGUGUCUACAGAAAUCUUGCUGCAACGUAAGAAAGGGUGCUAAGAACGGAUCAUUUGAUGUGGAGUAAGAACUGUAUCAUCUUCUCUUUUUUUUCUUUGCAAAUGAGACUUGUGUUCUUCUUUUGAGAUUUGUAACUUUAAAUUGUAUCUCCUUUGGAAUUAUGACAAAAAUGUUGUGUGGGAUAUUAUAUUUUUUAUUAUGGAAUACAAUUUCAUCUUCAUUA